rnacentral:misc_RNA from 1 species
GAUGAAGAACGCAGCGAAAUGCGAUAAGUAAUGUGAAUUGCAGAACUCAGUGAAUCAUCGAAUCUUUGAACGCACCUUGCGCUCUUUGGUAUUCCGAAGAGCAUGCCUGUUUGAGUGUCAUGAAAAUAUCAACCUUGACUUGGGUUUUGUGCUCUAGUCUCGGCUUGGAAUUGGGUGCUUGCCGCUUUUACGAGCGGCUCACCUUAAAUGUAUUAGCUGGAUCUGUCUUUGAGACUUGGUUUGACUUGGCGUAAUAAGUAUUUCGCUAAGGACAUUCUUCGGAGUGGCCUCGUUUCUAGGACGCUUGUCCGCUUUCCAAUACAAGUUCCACCUCGUGGACAUGACUUUUUAUUAUCUGGCCUCAAAUCAGGUAGGACUACCCGCUGAACUUAAGCAUAUCAAUAAGCGGAGGA